GACGAACGCUGGCGGCGUGCUUAACACAUGCAAGUCGAGGGGGUUCGUGGGGCAACUCACGGAUCACCGGCGAACGGGUGCGUAACACGUGAGCGACCUGCCGUACCUGUGGGGGAUAGCCGGCCCAACGGCCGGGUAAUACCGCAUACGCUUGUCUUGGGGCAUCCUGGGACAAAGAAAGCUCUGGGGGCAACCCUGGGGCGCAGGACGAGGGGCUCGCGGCCUAUCAGCUAGUUGGCGGGGAACGCCACCAAGGCGGUGACGGUAGCUGGUCUGAGAGGAUGGCCAGCCACAUUGGGACUGAGAGACGGCCCAGACUCCUACGGGAGGCAGCAGUGGGGAAUCUUGCGCAAUGGCCUAACGGCUGACGCAGCGACGCCGCGUGUGGGAGGACG
rnacentral:rRNA from 1 species